rnacentral:rRNA from 1 species
UUAACUGAGAGUUUGAUCCUAGCUCAGGGUGAAUGCUGGCGACGUGGAUAGGGCAUGCAAGUCAAGGGGACCGCAAGGUAACCGGCAGACGAGAUAGUAACGCGUAGGAACGUACCCAGAAGUCGGGCACAGCUCGCCGAAAGGCGGGGUAAUUCCCGAUGGUCUCGCAAGAGUAAAGAUUUAUCGCUUCUGGAGCGGCCUGCGUAAUAUCAGCUAGUUGGUGAGGUAAUGGCUCACCAAGGCUAUGACGUUUAGGGGAGCUGAGAGGCUGACCCCCAUCGAUGGAAUUGAGAUACGGUCCAUACUCCUACGGGAGGCUGCAGUCGAGAAUAUUCGACAAUGGGCGAAAGCCUGAUCGAGCGACGUCGCGUGGUGGAUGAAGUCCUUCGGGACGUAAACAUCUUUUAUGAGGGAGGAAGUUAUUGACGUUACCUCAUGAAUAAGGGGCUCCAAACUCUGUGCCAGCAGGAGCGGUAAUACAGAGGCCCCAAGCAUUACCCGGAAUCAUUGGGCGUAAAGGGUGCGUAGGUGGUCAUAUUAGUCGAAUGUUAAAUCCCGGGGCUUAACUCCGGAAUCGCGUUCGAAACGGUACGACUCGAGAGCGUGAGAGGUGAAUGGAACUCAUGGUGUAGGGGUGAAAUCCGUUGAUAUCAUGGGGAACACCGAAAGCGAAAGCAAUUCACUGGCACGUUUCUGACACUCAAGCACGAAAGCGUGGGUAGCGAACGGGAUUAGAUACCCCGGUAGUCCACGCCCUAAACGAUGAUAACUGGAUUUAGGGAGUAUCGACCCUCUCUGAGUCGAAGCUAACGCGUUAAGUUAUCCGCCUGGGUAGUACGGUCGCAAGACUAAAACUCAAAGGAAUAGACGGGGGCUUGCACAAGUGGUGGAGCGUGUGGCUUAAUUCGUCGCUAAGCGAAGAACCUUACCAAGGUUAGAAAUCCUACUGCACGCCUUCCGAAAGGAAGGAAGCCUUCGAGGGUGUAGGACAGGUGAUGCAUGGCUGUCGUCAGUUCGUGGUUUGAAUCGUUCCCUUCAGUGGGGUAACGAACGCAACCCUCGUUGCCUGUUAUAUUUGUCAGGCGAGACUGCCCCCUCACGGGGGAGGAAGGUGGGGAUGACGCCAAGUCAGCAUGUCCCUCUGAUAUCUUGGGCUGCACACGCGCUACAAUGGCUACUACAGCGGGGCGCGACGGGGUAACCCUGAGCAAAUCCUUCAAAAGUAGCCUCAGUUCGGAUUGAGGUCUGCAACCCGACCUCAUGAAGCUGGAAUCACUAGUAAUCGCGGGUCAGCCACACCGCGGUGAAUACGUUCUCAAGCCUUGUACUCACCGCCCGUCAAGUCAGGGGAGUUGGGAGUGCCCGAAGCGCAUCCUUGCGAUGCUUCAAGGCAAACUCAAUGACAAAGACUAAGUCGUAACAAGGCACGGGUAGCGGAAGCUGCUCGUGGAUUCAUUCUAAA